rnacentral:rRNA from 1 species
UACGAAGGGGGCUAGCGUUGCUCGGAAUUACCGGGCGUAAAGCGCACGUAGGCGGCUUUCUAAGUCGGGGGUGAAAUCCUGGAGCUCAACUCCAGAACUGCCUUCGAUACUGGAAAGCUCGAGUCCGGGAGAGGUGAGUGGAACUGCGAGUGUAGAGGUGAAAUUCGUAGAUAUUCGCAAGAACACCAGUGGCGAAGGCGGCUCACUGGCCCGGUACUGACGCUGAGAAGCGAAAGCGUGGGUAGCGAACAGG